GACAGAGGGUGCAAACGUUGUUCGGAAUUACUGGGCGUAAAGCGCGUGUAGGCGGCUAAGUAAGUCGGGCGUGAAAUCCCACGGCUCAACCGUGGAAGUGCACUCGAAACUGCAUAGCUAGAGUCCUGGAGAGGAAGGUGGAAUGCUUGGUGUAGAGGUGAAAUUCGUAGAUAUAUGGAAGAACACCUGUGGCGAAAGCGGUCUUCUAGCUUUCUCCUGACGCUGAGGCACGAAAGCAAGGGGAGCAAACAGG
rnacentral:rRNA from 1 species